rnacentral:rRNA from 1 species
GACGAACGCUGGCGGCGUGCUUAACACAUGCAAGUCGAGGGCACUAUUGGGGCAACCUGGUAGUGACCGGCGAACGGGUGCGUAACACGUGAGCGACCUUGCCUCGUGGUGGGGAGUAGCCGGCCCAACGGCCGGGUAUACGCAUAUGGUGCUGUCUUCGCAUGGAGACGGUAGCAAAGACUGUGUCGCAAGACAUGGCGCCACGAGGGGGGC